UACGUAGGGUGCGAGCGUUAAUCGGAAUCACUGGGCGUAAAGCGCACGUAGGCGGCUUAGCAAGUCGGAUGUGAAAUCCCUCGGCUCAACCAAGGAAGUGCAUCCGAAACUGCUGAGCUUGAGUACGAAAGAGGAUCGCGGAAUUCCCGGUGUAGAGGUGAAAUUCGUAGAUAUCGGGAGGAACACCAGUGGCGAAGGCGGCGAUCUGGGAAGAUACUGACGCUGAGGUGCGAAAGCGUGGGGAGCAAACAGG
rnacentral:rRNA from 1 species